GACGAACCGUGCAAACGUUGUUCGGAAUCACUGGGCGUAAAGCGCACGUAGGCGGUUUCUUAAGUCAGGGGUGAAAUCCUGGAGCUCAACUCCAGAACUGCCUUUGAUACUGGGAGACUUCGAGUCCGGGAGAGGUGAGUGGAACUGCGAGUGUAGAGGUGAAAUUCGUAGAUAUUCGCAAGAACACCAGUGGCGAAGGCGGCUCACUGGCCCGGUACUGACGCUGAGGUGCGAAAGCGUGGGGAGCAAACAGG
rnacentral:rRNA from 1 species